UAAUACGUAGGGGGCAAGCGUUGUUCGGAAUUACUGGGCGUAAAGGGCGCGUAGGCGGCACGGCAAGUCAGGAGUGAAAGCCCUGGGCUCAACCCGGGAACUGCUUUUGAAACUGCCGAGCUAGAGUGCGGAAGGGGCAACUGGAAUUCCCAGUGUAGCGGUGAAAUGCGUAGAUAUUGGGAAGAACACCUGAGGCGAAGGCGGGUUGCUGGGCCGACACUGACGCUGAGGCGCGAAAGCCAGGGGAGCGAACGGGAUUAGAUACCCCGGUAGUCCUGGCCCUAAACGAUGGAUACUUGGUGUGUGGGGUUUUCUCAGUCCCCGCGUGCCGGAGCUAACGCGGUAAGUAUCCCGCCUGGGGAGUACGGUCGCAAGGCUG
rnacentral:rRNA from 1 species